ACUUUCAACAAUCAAGAAAAAGCUGAUAACAGAGAAUUACGACCGAACACACAUGCUCCCGAAGUGGAAAGGUUGAUAGAGGAUUCAAAACCAAAGAGAAAAAAGGGAUUUUCUAUUCGUAAUUGCUUCAGAAAUUGUAUAUUUUGUGGGGGAAAGGGACCUGACAUGGACCAAGACAGUUCAGUCAUUGUCGAAGACAACCUCAGAAGGAGAGAGUCUGAACGUUGUUUACUAAGUUCUCGUGAUCCAGCUGAUAUAUCAGGACCGAUUGUGGGAAUUCUGUUAUCGGAAACUCAACGCUCAGGCAGAGGUUUAUAUAUUGACAUCAAUACCGACGAUGGAGAAGACGAAAUGAAGGAAAUAUUUGUGUGAAAAUCAAAAUAUAAAGGAUACCGAAAUUCGGGAUAUAUCGAUAUUUGUAUAGUAUUGUGUUUAUUUGCACACAUUUGCUUGUGACAUUUGUGUUUGUCUCAUUAAAGAACCGUUUGAUCAUCAUC